AGCGAACGCUGGCGGCAGGCUUAACACAUGCAAGUCGAGCGGGCACCUUCGGGUGUCAGCGGCAGACGGGUGAGUAACACGUGGGAACGUAACCUUCGGUUCGGAAUAACGCUGGGAAACUAGCGCUAAUACCGGAUACGCCCUUAUGGGGAAAGGUUUACUGCCGAAGGAUCGGCCCGCGUCUGAUUAGCUAGUUGGUGGGGUAACGGCCUACCAAGGCGACGAUCAGUAGCUGGUCUGAGAGGAUGAUCAGCCACACUGGGACUGAGACACGGCCCAGACUCCUACGGGAGGCAGCAGUGGGGAAUAUUGGACAAUGGGCGCAAGCCUGAUCCAGCCAUGCCGCGUGAGUGAUGAAGGCCUUAGGGUUGUAAAGCUCUUUUGUCCGGGACGAUAAUGACGGUACCGGAAGAAUAAGCCCCGGCUAACUUCGUG
rnacentral:rRNA from 1 species